rnacentral:rRNA from 1 species
CGCGUAGGCGGCCACCUAAGUCAGACGUGAAAUCCCUCGGCUCAACCGGGGAACUGCGUCUGAUACUGGGUGGCUUGAAUUCGGGAGAGGGAUGCGGAAUUCCAGGUGUAGCGGUGAAAUGCGUAGAUAUCUGGAGGAACACCGGUGGCGAAGGCGGCAUCCUGGACCGAGAUUGACGCUGAGGCGCGAAAGCCAGGGAGCAAACG